CGUUGACUCUGCCCCCGUGGCAAAGGCCCGCACCCCGCCGCGGCUGCUCCCCGCUGCCGCUCGCUGGCCUGUUACCUGCUCAUCUCCUCCGUGCGUGCGGCGCACCUGUCGCCACUAGCCGGGUUCCAGAGGGCAGGAGCGGUUUUGUAACCAGAGUAAGAGGGCAGCAUUGGGUCCAGGAAAGCCGAAGUAGAGGAACUGAGACUGCUUCCUGUAUCCAGAGUGAGGACUGUCCACAGGCACAGCAUUCCAGAGAAGGGUAUAGGUGCGUAAAGGAAAGGGAAACGCAGCCUGAUAGCCUGUAUCUUCCUGAAGUUACAGAGGAUAACAGACAGUAACUUUACAUAACGGCGGUAUCAGUCCCUUUACAGUUGUUUGCAGAAAGAAGAUUUAAAAAAUAUUUGCAUUCCAGCCCAGCUUAUGUUCCUCAUGUGUCAGGGAACACACAUGAGGUCUAGUGAUGGAAGACUGACAACAACACGGAGCCACUGCAAACAAGACUAUCCAGGUACAUCUGUGUAGAGAUGUCAACUGACCUUGACCUCACCGGUUUAGAACAGUUUGUUCCUUCCUUGCCGAAAAACCAGGGCCACUUGCUGUAAGUGUUUAGAGGAGCGUUAAAGACAACCCUUAAACCAAGCAACCUCUAUUGAGCAU